AGUGGCGGACGGGUGAGUAACGCGUGGGUGACCUGCCCCAUACCGGGGGAUAACAGCUGGAAACGGCUGCUAAUACCGCAUAAGCGCACAGAGCUGCAUGGCUCGGUGUGAAAAACUCCGGUGGUAUGGGAUGGGCCCGCGUCUGAUUAGGCAGUUGGCGGGGUAACGGCCCACCAAACCGACGAUCAGUAGCCGGCCUGAGAGGGCGACCGGCCACAUUGGGACUGAGACACGGCCCAAACUCCUACGGGAGGCAGCAGUGGGGAAUAUUGCACAAUGGGGGAAACCCUGAUGCAGCGACGCCGCGUGAGCGAAGAAGUAUUUCGGUAUGUAAAGCUCUAUCAGCAGGGAAGAAAAUGACGGUACCUGACUAAGAAGCCCCGGCUAACUACGUGCCAGCAGCCGCGGUAAUACGUAGGGGGCAAGCGUUAUCCGGAUUUACUGGGUGUAAAGGGAGCGUAGACGGCCGUGCAAGUCUGAAGUGAAAGGCAUGGGCUCAACCUGUGGACUGCUUUGGAAACUGUGCAGCUAGAGUGUCGGAGAGGUAAGUGGAAUUCCUAGUGUAGCGGUGAAAUGCGUAGAUAUUAGGAGGAACACCAGUGGCGAA
rnacentral:rRNA from 1 species